CUGGGAAACAGCGUGGCCACGCCGUAAAACCCCCCAAACUUCUGAAAGGUUGACCUCGGAUCAGGUAGGAAUACCCCG
rnacentral:rRNA from 1 species